GAUGAACGCUGGCGGCGUGCCUAAUACAUGCAAGUCGAGCGAAGCGGGGACGGGUGAGUAACACGUGGGUAACCUCCUAUAAGACUGGGAUAACUUCGGGAAACCGUAGCUAAAACGGAUACUUAUAGAUGAAUCCGCGCUGCAUUAGCUAGUUGGUAAGGUAACGGCUGACAAAGGCAACGAUUCAUAGCCGACGUGAGAGGGGUAUCGGCCACACUGGAACUGAGACAGGGCCCAGACUCCUACGGGCGGCAGCAGUAGGGAAUCUUCCGCAAUGGGCGAAAGCCUGACGGAGCAACCCCGGGGGAGUGAUGAAGGUCUUCGGAUCGUAAAAUUCUGUUAUUAGGGAGGCGGUAACUAAUCAGAAAGCCACGGCUAACUACGUGCCAGCAGCCGCGGUAAUUC
rnacentral:rRNA from 1 species